rnacentral:rRNA from 1 species
UACGGGGGGGGGUAAGCGUUGUUCGGAAUUACUGGGCGUAAAGGGCUCGUAGGCGGCCAACUAAGUCGGACGUGAAAUCCCUCAGCUUAACUGGGGAACUGCGUCCGAUACUGGAUGGCUUGGAUUUGGGAGAGGGAUGCGGAAUUCCAGGUGUAGAGGUGAAAUUCGUAGAUAUCGGGAGGAACACCAGUGGCGAAGGCGGCGAUCUGGGAAGAUACUGACGCUGAGGUGCGAAAGCGUGGGGAGCAACAGG